AGAAAUGAAGAAAAUAGUUAGUUGUUUCUUAUUGGUUCCUUCCAUGUUUUUAGCGCCAGGGAGCUGAUAGCGUUUGGAUAGAUGUAUAUAUUAUGAUAGAGGCAAUCCGAAAUGGCGCUGUAUCAAGGUAGACAGGGAAGGGUUGGUUAGUCGGGCUAGAAAUCAAGAAAAUCGAUGAUCGGUGAACCAGAUAACGUUUGGAUAGAUUUUUUUUAUUUUUACAACAAAGGAGACAGCUCAAGGGCACAAAAAAGGAAACAAUAAUAAAAAAAAGCCCGCUACUCGCUGCUCCUAAAAAGAAUCCAAGGAGGUGGCCGAAAGAGGGGUCGAUGUAUGUAUUUGAUAUGGGAGAGAAAUCCGAAAUGGUUGGUAUAUAUAUCAAGGUAGACAGCUGAGGAUUGAUUGACAGUGGAAAAAGUGUUAUAGUUUUUAUAGUUCCUUUUUAUUCAGUGACCGCGAAUUUUAAAACGUUAGAUAGAAGAGGAAUAUGCUGUAGUAAACCCGGAAUAGCGUAUCAAGGAAGAGUUGGUCAGUCAGGUAGAAAUAAGGGAAAAUAAUAUUUUUGCUGUGUUUAUUCAUGUGUAAUUCAUAUUUUAUUAUCUUUUUUUAUUCAGUCAGCGAGCGAGGCAGCCAGUCGUCGCGGUGUGCGUCUUCAUUUGUUUGUUCACGAGCCUUGCCGUCUGCCGUUGUCAUGACCUAACGAGCGGCUGUCACGGGCGGUGUUUUUCUCGUUAUUCUGCUGCCAUUUCCGCUGCUGCAUGUGGCUGGUGGACAGGUCUGGUUACCUCAGCUGCUUGAUUGCUGGCACCUUGUCCGUGGAGUGUUGGUUUAGAAUUUAGAUUUUAGUAUUAUUAUUAUUCGCAUUCAGUAGUAGUAGUAGUAGUAGUAGUAGUAGUAGUAGUAGUAGUAGUGGUAGUAGUAGUAGUAGUAGUAGUAGUAGUAGUAGCAGUGGCAGUAGUAGCAGUUGUUGUUGAAUCUCAGUAAACUCCAGAGCGUCUUAAGUCUGAUCCAUCGAAGUAACUGAGACGAAGCAGUGGGUUAUAGAGAACAAUACCGACACCACGAGAUCAAAUGAGCGUUUAUUUGUCCCUCUAACUGGCCCAUUGUAUUGCCUGGGUGAUGUGCGUGCUUGAAACAACACCAACAAACAAUUCAUCCACGAGAGACAACGAUUUGCUCGAGUCUCUCCCAUCCGAGGCUCAAAGGGCGAACGGAGCAGAGACGAGCACCUCCGCCACGCGCAGCUAUAGCGUAUGCUCCCAACUCAACCUUACCUGAGACCAGAAGUAUUACAUUUAUGAGCUCGUAGUAUUCGUAUUAGUUAUCCAUUACAGAGGAAGACCAGCGACGAGUACGUAUAUGGAUUUCGUGUAUCGUGAUCCGUCAAUCCAACAAAGACCGGAAACACAUGAUUUUCGUAAUAAUGUAAUCCGUCAUCCCCAGCGGAGGACCAUUGACAUUAUUAUUUCGUUACUGAUCCGUCAUUCGAUAUCCAGUGAUCGGCAGGGAGAGGGAGAGGACACGCGACGGGGAAGUAGAGCUUGGUGUGUGUGUGUGUGUGUGUGUGUGUGUGUGUUUGGUAUUGAGCUGUCUGUCAUGCACCUCCUCCCCCCUCCCCCCUCCUCCCCUACCUUCAUAACCCCCUCGGGAACUAACUCUUUGCUACUGACGAGGAAAACACACACACGUAGUUGGCCUCCAGAAGAUUAUCGGCCACCUAAUGAGCCGUCAGCCAUGCACAUCUACCCCCUCCCCCCCAUCCCCAUCCCCCACACAGUCCUCCCCCCCCCCACCCCCACCCCCCUCGGUAUCUGACGCACGUAUUUGGUAUUGACGGGAUAAAUAUACUCAUACGUAGUUAGUUUAGGACUGUCGACCACCUCCUGAAAGACUGUGAUAAGAUUAGGGUAGAGAACUUUUGAUAGAGAGGGUGGGCGGUUGUGGUCUAGCUGAUGACGGUGUGUGUGUGUGUGUGUGGCUUUCAUUGUCGUGUUGUGGUGUAUAGUAUAUUGUGUGUGUGUGUAUGUGUGUGUGCGCCCAUCUGUGUGCCUGCCGUCCACCCUCCAUUGGCCAUGUGGUUUGGUGGUGACCGUAAGUGGAGCGUCUGACAUAACGACACACACACACACACACACACACACACACACACACACACACACACACACAUAUGCAGGAGCGGGGGUUAGAGGGGGGGCGGUUGGAGGUAAUUAUGCACUCAUUCUCGUUAAAGCAGAAAGCAGUGUGGUGGGGGGGUGGGGCUGCAUAGUUUAGCGGCGGCGAUGGCGGGGUCGUGGGAAUCGUGUGGAGUCUUCGAAUAUUAAAUGAAUGGUUGAAACGGUGAAACAGCGACCGUGAAUCUGCGUGGAGGUGCAAGGACCCGACCCAUCACCCCACCCCUCCUAUACCCGGACCCUAUACCUUGCCCCUAGCCCCAUCCAAAGACCUGCCCCGAUCACCUCACCCCCUCUCCUGACCCUUGCUCCUGCCCCGACCCCCGCGCUGGGUACGUGUAUUCUGCCGCCGGUCGGGGUCCACAGGCAAAAACAAGACGUUCUCGCAGGAGCUCUUGGCGGUCAGUUUUCUCGGCUGGUCCACUCGAGGGUAUAGCCAGUGAUUGCCGGGAUGAUCGGGCCGCGGGUGUAACCUUUGCUCGGCCCGGCGCGGGGAAAAACGUCUGGUGAUGCCACUCGCCGGGGGACACAGCGCAAGUGAUUUUUUCUCCUCUCUUAGCUAUUACUUUGAUUACAUGCACGGGAUGAGGCGUGCAAUUUCUUUUCCUCUGAUGGGGCGUGACCUGUAACUGUGCCUCGGCUCGGCUCGGCUUGGUUCGGAGGAGAGACUGAAGGAAUAACGGGAUCAAGUGUUAUAUUUUCUUUAAUAGUCGAAUAUGACCCCUAAUUGUACAUCUGUUUAGCUUAGUCGGAAGAGCGAAAAAGUUGGAAAGUUUUUUUAGUCGGCGCAACAUCUGUGGUCAUAUGCCGGAAAGAGACAAGGGGAAGGAAUUAUAGAAGGUAACAGAUCCCAGGAGACGGGACACAACCCCCGAUAGAUAGCUUGGUCGGAAGAGCGAAGCAGAUUAAAUAAAUGCCGUAGGAUCAUGUGUCGUCGCCCCAUGAGUUUCCGCCUUCUGGGAGUGACGCGGCUCCAGCCCUCCCGCCGCUCCUCUCAUCCUACUCAUAUUCUCACUGUCAUGUUGCCGUUGAUUUCCCGUGGACUCCAUUAUGGGCGGCGCAGUGUGUUGCCGCCGCCCUGGGUGAGGCCGUUCCCACGAGGGAGGAGUGCCCAAACCUGCCCCGCGGGACGCCCAUUAGGUGCGCAUCAAAGAGGUAAUGGGCAGCCGUAAACCCCGGCGGCCUGUUAUCCGGCGAGAGGCGCGUCGUUACUGCGGCCACACUUUAUGGUGGAGUUUAUUAAGGGUUGUGUGGCGCGGCGCCGCACGCUGCAUAGCCGACAAACAGCGGGCGAUUAGCGCUGGUUAAUUGCGCUCACCCACCUGGCGGAGGACGACUCGGCUCACUAGGCUCAGCUCACCUCGCCUUGCCCUCGCCAUCUUCCUGGAAUACUAUUAAUACUUCCUUAUAUUUUGUUUUAUCUUCCU